GGUAAGAAGAGGAGCCAGGAGAGCAGGGGAAGAGGGGAGUAGGCAGGUGGAGAAGGACGGUGAUCACCUGGAAGCACACCCACUCUUCUCAAGAAGUUCCUUCUGAACACCAGGAAGCACCGCUGUGCUGUGCAGAAGCCGUCUGGACAUGGCCCUGGGCAUCCUGUUGUGGGUGUCCCUGCUUGGGCAGAGGAGGAAAUCAGAGCCCUGAACCCAAAGUUAAUCACCAGAUUCACUGUGCUGUGCCGGCUGUGGGACGGCGCCUGGCAGUUCUUGCUGGAAGACCGAGUCUCCAACCUAGCAGGGCCUGUCCGUCCUGCAGAUUAUGGGUCACUCACUGUCACACCGGAUUCCUUCAGAUGAGGAAAAAGACCACCCUGAAAAUAUCAAUGGCUACUCCUGAGGCAAACAGAGAGAAAUAUGUAAACUGCCCAACCAGUGCGGAAGAACUGGUUUCCAGAGGGAAAAAGUAUUGCUCAGAAACUGAGAUGAUACUUUUAGAGGAAAAAAGAG
rnacentral:lncRNA from 1 species